rnacentral:rRNA from 1 species
GAUGAACGCUGGCGGCGUGCCUAAUACAUGCAAGUCGAGCGAACGGACGAGAAGCUUGCUCCUCUGAUGUUAGCGGCGGACGGGUGAGUAACACGUGGAUAACCUACCUAUAAGACUGGGAUAACUUCGGGAAACCGUAGCUAAUACCGGAUAAUAUUUUGAACCGCAUGGUUCAAAAGUGAAAGACGGUCUUGCUGUCACUUAUAGAUGGAUCCGCGCUGCAUUAGCUAGUUGGUAAGGUAACGGCUUACCAAGGCAACGAUGCAUAGCCGACCUGAGAGGGUGAUCGGCCACACUGGAACUGAGACACGGUCCAGACUCCUACGGGAGGCAGCAGUAGGGAAUCUUCCGCAAUGGGCGAAAGCCUGACGGAGCAACGCCGCGUGAGUGAUGAAGGUCUUCGGAUCGUAAAACUCUGUUAUUAGGGAAGAACAAAUGUGUAAGUAACUGUGCACAUCUUGACGGUACCUAAUCAGAAAGCCACGGCUAACUACGUG